UUCAAGAAGUCUUUUCUGAUUCCAUGAGAGUUAGACAUAGAAUACUUCCCUGGAUGAAAUGCAAAUAGCAACCUCCUGAAACAGAUCUGUCAUCUAGAUCACGGGAGGUAGCUAACAACGCCAAAAUUCACCUUAUGAAACAAACCCCCAUUCUCUAAGAAGUGAAGCAGUACCACCUAUCAUCUAAAGGCAAAGAGGGUCACAGAAUAUCAGAACUGGAAGGAACCUCAGAGCUAUACUGAAUCAAGAAGGCUUCUCUACAAUUCACUGGAGAAGCAAUCCUCCACCUUCUGCCUCCCAUCUGAAAUCUCCUUGACUUUGAAGAUGGAUUUGGUUUUAAACUGUAGAAGCAAAGGAAGGGACCUGUUUGAAAGCUGGCACAGACAACCUGAUGGAGGGGAAAAAAAAAGGAAUCUAGGAAAGUCUUCUGUAGCAGAACCCAAAGGGGAUCAUGGCCAAACUCAGUCACCCAGGUCCCCAUCAGACCAGAUGAAUAUUCUAAGUUUCCUCCAGGAGAGAAGGAAUGGAAAGCUAGAGCCGAAGUGAAACCAACACAGGGAUGCAGUGCACGAAGUAAACCAGUGUUUGGGUACCACUGAAGACAUAUGUCAGAAGCAGUCAACUCUCGAUUGUCUGCACAUGGAUUAUAUGCUUUGUGAUUCCUCUA